GGCUCAAUGGUCUAGUGGUAUGAUUCUCGCUUUGGGACCUAACUGAAGUUGCGAGAGGCCCCGGGUUCGAAUCCCGGUUGAGCCC